AUUCUACACAUAUCACUGCUUCUCAGUGUGUACAUACUGGGGAAGGGGGUCAUUUUGACCCAGAAGGAUUUUUGAAUCAUCAAAUAUUUUCAAAUCGAAGGUUUUUCUAGUCUAGCUUCAUUCAGGUCUAUAGUUGCUACUAAAAAUAAUGCAUUUUUUCAUAAAGUGAAUGAUGUAGAAUCAAAUUAUCUUAAAAGUCUACAAAAGUUAGCCAAUAGAUGAGCGUUGUGCAUCGAAGUUCAAGUCCCAAGAGAUGUUAUCAGUCGGAACGGCCGAGUGAACAAAUAUUUGUGAACCUCCUUCCAAAUGAAAUGUUCUAUAGAAGGGUGGAAGUGGUAAGAGACCGUUGAAACAGUGGUUAAGAAGGUAGGUCUUUGUGGUACGGAUGGGAAAUAGUCGUUAGGGGAAAGCUGCUUCACCACACAGGAAACAGAAAAACUCUUGAAAGCAUCUUGUCCAGCUGUGACAGAAGAAUUUACAUAGAUAACAUUUUCAAGCCGGAGUUUGUCUACACUCAACUGGUGACCAAAAAAGGAGGAGGUGAAGGGGGAGCAGGAUAGGAAAAUGUUUUAAGGUUACAAGAGCUAUUCACUGUGCAUUUUGCCAAUCACAUAAUGACAUAUCUUUCUAGCCAAGAUGUUUAAAAUAAAGAUCUACACUUCAUCAUAUCGGAAAACUAGAUGAGCUUCGAUGGAGGGAAAAGAUUUGACAAAACCAAAAGAAACCCAAAGAAGCAUGUCCUCGUGUAAUAGAACUAGGACUGAAUGCCUUGAAAUUAAAAUAUUUAUAUUUUCCCUUUAUCAAUAUUGAAAAUAUAGCAAACACAAAUAUUUGUAAGUAUUAAAAUCAUCAAAGGCUGCCAUCUUUUUGCUUACUCAUCUGCUUUGCUUUUGUGAUUUCGCUUAAUUGUUUUGAAAAUGAUGUGAGCUUGGAACAACUCUUUGCAUGUUUAUAGAUGAGCAAACUCUGCUCAGGAUGGUUGAGGCUCUUGACCUAGAUCACAGAACUCAGGGUUUGCACCCAGGUGUAUCGAGCUCUGAAAUGCGUGCUGUUUAAACACACUGUGCCAUGGUAUUCGGAACCAUGAUCAAAAUCAUUACAUAGCACAGGGAAAUCUACUUAAUACUGUUCAAUAACCUAUAUGGGAAAAUAAAUGGAUAUACGUAUAUGUACAAAUGGUCUAUUUUGCUACACAACACAACUUUAUAAGUCAACCUCUACUCCGAUAACAUUUUUAAAAAUCAUCACUUUCUAUUUGUAUUUAGUUCUCUCUUCCAUUUUUUUUUCUUCCAGCAUUUCAUAUAUAUUUUCCAUGUGUUAUCUACAUAUGUUAUCCUUCGUGAAAACUUUGGGAGUGCUCUCUUGGAAAAGAGUUUUUGUGGCUGCUGUUUUCCUUCAUGACUCUAUUUUCAUUAUAAUUCUUCCACAAUAUUUUCAUCAAGCUUCCAGAUUCAUUUCAUUUUGAACACCUGGAAACUAAACACACUUCAAUAAUAGUGUGGCUACAACUCAAAUUCUCACCCCCAUGUAAAUAAGUGUGGUUUUUCUUGCUAUGAAAUACAUGUGGAGCAAAGAAGCAUAAAGCAAAGAAUGACCUAAAAGUUAAACUCUUGAACAGCUUGAAGCAGUGGUUUUUCAUCAUGUUCUACUCUUCCAGUAAAUUUAUAAUAGUUUGUGUGUUGGUAAUUUGUUUAAGCAAUUCAGGUACCAUUAUUGGAGGGAAAAUCCCAAAGGUAAAACCCUGAUGUAUUCAUCUCUAACUUCAGACCAUCUGCACAGGCAAAUAACUGCUGUGCCUCUUCUUUCCAUCUCCUGCCUACUUCCUGGGUACCCUUUUGGUAGGUGUUCUAGUCGAGCAAGAAAUACCCACCCCCGCCCCAGCUGACUUUUCCCCUUGCGUCUAAAAUCUAAGCAAGAAUGUUGCCUUUCCCUCUCCUUGUCCCUGAUCUAAGUACUUCACAGGGUGUUACUGGGUCUACACACCUGCUUCAUCCAUCACUCCAUGUUUCUCUUACACACCUAAGUCAUUCCUAAGUCUUAAAAUUCUCAUCCCUCUUCCUCUGACUUCUGGAACAUAGGAAAAGUUGCUCUCUCUUUGAAGUCAUAAAAGAACUCCUCAGUAAUUUUCUCCAUAUUGCUGUUCAUUUCAUUUUCAUACUCUAAUUGAACUUACAUCAGCAAUACCAGGUUACUGCUUUUCGGUUAUGCUAAGUGCCUAGUUUCUAAUAACACAUUUUUGUGUGUGGUUUACAAGUGUUCACAAAUCAUGUGUGAUGCUAAGGUAGGCUUUUUUGGGGAGCUUUCCCGAGACCCAAGGCAAGCCAAAGAAUGAUAGCAGAUCACCCUCUGUGAGACAACUUUGUAUGCUGGAAAAUGGCUAUAUUGUAAACAUUUACUGCUUAUUAAAACUCUCUACAAGGUUCAUAGUCAUGUUGUCAUCCAUUCCUUUAAUGCAACUCUUUUGGGGUUUUUUCUUUUUCUUUUUUUUUUUUUUUUUUUUUUUGAUUUUAUUGGAGUAUAGAUGACUUAGAAAGUUGUGUUAGUUUCAGGUAUACAGCAAAAGUAAAUCAUCUGUACAUAUACAUAUAUCCACUUCAUUUAAGAUUCUUUUCCCAUAUAGGUUAUUACACAGUAUUGAGUAUAUUUCAUUCAGUAGGUCUUUGUUAAAAUGAUUUUUUGGCUUGAGGGGAGGGCACACCUGCACCAUGAGGAAGUUCCUGGGCCAGGGAUCAAACCAGUGACACAGCUGUAAUCAGAGCCACAGCAGUGACAUCACUGGAUUCUUAACCCACUGACCUACCAGGGAACUCCUCUCCUGCUGCCCUUUGAAUGCUGUUCUUUGGUCUAGAACAAGCUGGAGAGUUGCUGGCAAAGACCUGUUUAUCAUGUGUUUCAAAUUCUUUAAGCAUCUGCCUUUAACAAAUAUCUUUAACCUUCUUCCUUCAACCCAAUCUCUUUACUUUGUUCCAAAAGAUAAUAGUUCAGUCUUUGAAUCCUCAUGCGGUCUGUUCGCCAGCUCCUGCCCUGAACUUUUUUUUUUCUAUGCCUUUCAUUAAGCUCAUGAGAAAACUCAAAAUUUACAAGCUGCAUGACCUAUGCUGCCUUUGAGAAGAAAGAUGAUUUUGAUGUUUGUAUUUGCAUGCCCUUUCUCUGCAUUCCCACAUCAUAGAGAGGUGUUUUCUUUUUCAUUCUUUAUAUUAUUUAUCUUGAGCCAUUCUGAACAAACACCUGGUCUCCUCAUAUCAGCUUCAAUUAAUUCCUUGUUAAAUUAAAAUGAUUCACACAUACACACACACACAUGAAACGUGAAAAUGUGUGAUCACUAUAUUCAAUGUUCAUUUUAUUCAGGUGCACAAAUAAUUUUUGUACUACACAUUUUCAGAGACUUAUUUUGGGGCCCGUGUAUAUUCUGGAAAAUGAACCUGAAAUUGCUAUUGUUCACUGGUGUUAUAGAAACCACGACUGAGACCAAACUCUUUGGUGUCUAGAGGCUGAAACAUGAUGGAAAGGAGUUUGGUCAGGCAGCUCUUGUGGACAGAACAGGGCAGAGCAGGAUGGGGCAAAGAGAAAGAACUUUACUGAGAUUUUUAAAAAACAGUUUUAAAAUUUGAGAAAGACUUGAAAUAUGCUAGAAAAUAUAAGAGGAAUAAGUUGGGGAAGAACUAAAAUAGAAUAAGAAGGAAAUGCAAUUUAAACAAAUGCAAACUUGUUAGGCAAAAUGUAAGAACAUCGGGGGGAAAAAGAUAAGUUAAGCAGACUGGCUAUUUUGGUAAGAUAAAAUAAACUAUCAACACAUUUAUGUACCUGUAGCUAUAGUAAAAGACAGAAAGAACAAACCACAAGUCUGGAAUACUCCUGCACAAAGAAAUGCGAAAUAAUCAUUGCCAUUGUCACAGCAAAGUGUUUUUAGAUCCCAGGUUGGCCCUACAAACACUUUCUUCUCUGUGAACGGGAAGCAUUUUUAAGUGUUUAAUUUAAUACUUGAGAUGUUUAAAUUAUCUAAAUUAAUUUUAGGUUAUAUUUAUUUGGCCAUCAGCUCGUCUCAUGGUCUGAAGGAUGAUGAUGAUGAGGAAGAGGAGGAAGAAGAGAAGAUGAGGAACUUUUCCAAAAUAGGCAGUUUAACUCAUAAUAGACCCAAUUUCUAAAUACGAGGUUGGACUACGUCAUCUCUAAACGCAACCACUGGUCUGAAAAUAUGAGCUGUGUCAUAGAUACGGAGAACAAACAGGUGGUUGCCAAAGGAUGGGGGGAUUGGGCAAAAGAGGUGAAGGGGAUUCAGGGCCCCAAACUUCCAGUUAUAACAUAAAAAAGUCACAGAGAUAUAAUGUAAAGUCAGGGGGAAAUACAGUCAAUAUUGCAAUAACUGUGUAUGGUGGCCAAUGGUCCCCAGAUUUACAAGUGUGGGAAUCAACUUGGGUAAUGUACACAAAUGUCAAAUCACUAUACUGUACUCAAAACUCAUCUAAGCCACUACAUUCGUGGUAAACCACUAGUGUAAAACUAGUGCACACCACCACUACACUGCCGUAGUGGUUGAGUUUCAAUAAAAGUUAUGUGCAUCAACUCUAUUUCAACAAAAAAUUAAAAGUAACAAAACAAGGUAACAUUAAGAGAUUCGUUACACCUGGGCUUUAAUUUCCAAUUUUGGUUUAAUAUGUAUGACCUAACUUUAAAAAUCAGUUUACAGACAGACUAUCCUAAGGGCAAACAGUCCAACAAGACUUGCUCCAAUUCAAAGAAAAUCUUGAUAAGCAUUUUUUUUUCCUUUGUGGUUAUUAUAAAGUAUUUAAGUUCAAUUUUUAAAAAAUCCACUAUAUUUGAUUGUCAUUAUUUGAGUCAACAUGUUUCAAGUUAUGUUUCAGAGCACGGUUAGUUGAAACAGCCCAGAUCUUACUCAUCAAAAGACUUGGAAUAUUCACAGAAACUCUGUCACUCAUUAUUUCUCAGAGUUUAAAGAAGUUUAUGAACAUCACUGAGAAUCUGUCUUUUCAGUUUUGAAAGGGAAGUUAUAAUACUGACUUUGAAGUAUCUUGGCCAGUGAAAAAAACGCUACACAUAUAAGUUAUCAAGUGAAAUUAAAAGCUAAAGAAAUAAUAGCUACUAUAAAUAAAAACAUUCACAUUUGUUUAUUUGUGCUCAUUUGUCUUAAUGUUACCAAAAUUUAUUUUUAAAUGUUUUAUUUUAAGAUGUUAUGUUCCUACAUUCCUAAAUCUAUCUCCAUUUUACAUUUUGUUAGGGCUUGCAUGCUAUUUCUUUUUUUUUUUUAAUUAAAGUAUAGUUGAUUGACAGUGUUGUGCCAAUUUCUACUGUACAUCAAAAUGUCUCAGUCGUAUAUAUAUAUUUUUUUUUCUCAUAUUACCUUCCCUAUGGUCUAUCCCAAGAGACUGGAUAUAGUUCCCUGUGCUGUACAGCAGAACCUCAUUGCUUAUCCAUUCUAAAUGGAGUAGUUUGCAUCUCCUAACCCCAAAUUCCCAGUCACAAGGUUACAUUUUAAUUAGUGCCCAGUGUUCAUAGGAUUUUAGGAUUUUACUAAGUCAAUCACACAAACUUUUAAUAUUUGAAAAAAAAUUGUUUUAAUAAAAAAUACCAUUUCAAAAAGAUCAUUUUAUUUCAAAAGCCAGACUGCUAUUUGUUCAUGUUUCCAGUUAGUGUAAAUAACCAUCUAGUUCUUAUUGCGAUGUGAAUAAGAUAUCCCUACUUGUAGAGAUAAGAAAUAUAAAUGUGUUUUGAGAGGAAAUUCAUCGUGUGGUUUGAGGUUAUAGUAACUGAUUUUGAGUCUAUUACAUGCGAGAAUACGCAAAUGAAUACUCCGUAAGUAGAUCUCUACCCAGAAUGAACAGACGUGAUUCUAGCUUGAGGUCCAAAAUAAAACAUGACUGAAUCUG
ensembl:lncRNA